rnacentral:rRNA from 1 species
UGGGUAACCUGCCUCAAAGAGGGGAAUAGCCUCCCGAAAGGGAGAUUAAUACCGCACAAUAUGUUUAAGUCGCAUGACUUUAACAUCAAAGGAUUUUUCUUUUAAGAAAUUCCACUUUGAGAUGGACCCGCGGCGCAUUAGCUAGUUGGUGAGGUAACGGCUCACCAAGGCAACGAUGCGUAGCCGACCUGAGAGGGUNAUCGGCCACAUUGGAACUGAGACACGGUCCAGACUCCGUAGGGAGG